UGAGUAACCUGCCCUGGACUUUGGGAUAACCCUCGGAAACGGGGGCUAAUACCGGAUAUGACGGCUCACCGCAUGGUGUGGUUGUGGAAAGUUUUUCGGUCUGGGAUGGGCUCGCGGCCUAUCAGCUUGUUGGUGAGGUAACGGCUCACCAAGGCUUCGACGGGUAGCCGGCCUGAGAGGGCGACCGGCCACACUGGGACUGAGAUACGGCCCAGACUCCUACGGGAGGCA
rnacentral:rRNA from 1 species